rnacentral:rRNA from 1 species
UACGAAGGGUGCAAGCGUUACUCGGAAUUACUGGGCGUAAAGCGUGCGUAGGUGGUUCGUUAAGUCUGAUGUGAAAUUCCUGGGCUCAACCUGGGGCUGCGUUUGAUACGUGCGGACUUGAGUGCGGAAGAGGGUCGUGGAAUUCCCAGUGUAGAGGUGAAAUUCGUAGAUAUUGGGAAGAACACCGGUGGCGAAGGCGGCGACCUGGUCCGAUACUGACGCUGAGGCGCGAAAGCGUGGGAGCAAACAGGAUUG